rnacentral:lncRNA from 1 species
GAGGCCAAAGCUUCCAGAGGCAGAAGUCCAAGAAUGGAGGAGUGGUGGCUGAGGCAUGGGACCAAGCUUGUCUCCUCUCUUCCCCUCUCCUCCAGCUGCCUCCCUUCUAGAUGUGAUCAGAGCCCUGAGUCCUGUGCAGCCCUGGCAGCAAGGCACUCCCUGAGGGCUGGAGCUUUUGUCUUGGGAACCCAGCAAUCUCAACACAAUAGGAAAUGCUUCUGCUCUGGCUGCUUAUAUCCCCCGACUGGUGCAAUCGACAGAUGUAGCAGUGCAUAUCCACAGAGUGCCUGGAACCUGGGGUAUCCAUCUUGUGGGGGAAAGAGGAAUAUGGUUUGUCCCACAAAUGCAAACCGGAGUCUUUCCUAGAAGGGGUAUAAUAUCAGAAUCGAGGAUAUGGUGACUAUUGUGUUUCUAUCAACUACCUAUUGGACAGUUUAACUUUGGCUUCUCUUUGGUAUCCCUAGUACUUUGCAAAAGUGCCUGGCUCUUGGCAGUCAUAUACUAGCAUGCAAUAAAUGUUUAUAGACUGGCUGACUGGUCCA